GAUGCGGGUUACUCNUUGUAGUAUUGCUUGCACAUACUUGUACAUUUGUUUGCAAGGUGUUGUCGGCGUGCACUUCUCCCCUAGUAGGACGUCGCGACCCGUUGGGUGUCGGUCUACGACCUAAGUNGGUAGCCUUNUAAUGUUUANAUAACAUUGAAGACCCUUGGUGGUUUCUGACCGGCUACCCGACGGUACUCGUACGGUAUUUAGCCGCAUUUUAUUAUGCGUCCAUAUCCGUCGCAAGCGAGGCUAGUU
rnacentral:rRNA from 1 species